GAGGAGAAGGACAUUUUUUGAGCCGAGACCUGUUGGAAAAGACGACUCUAUGGCCACCUAAGCAGAAAAUCCAAGUGUUCGGUUUGAGAAAUACCUAUCAUCUUGGUGCCGUGACCCGGAUCUCAACAUACUCGUUCACUGACAGACAAAGGACGACGCGCUGAAAACCAUGUACGGCCAGAGUCAACAGGACUUGGAAACAAAGUCCCGGGAAGUAACUUCUUUGCUGGACCAGCGCCCUAUGUCUGACUUUGUCUGCCAACAGCGGAUUGAAGAGAUCCAACAGGACAAGACGAACUGACAGAAACCUAAUGACAGUGAUCAAGAAGACAAAGAAAAUCAGGAAGAAUCACCAUCACCUCCAGACACUGAAGUAUCUGCUGAUCCUAAUUUCUUGACACCUGGGAGCUGCCAUUCAGCAAACUCCUGCAUGAUGUCCAUCUGGACAUUGGACUGAAACUGCAUCCCUCCGUUUGGAUGCAACUGAACUUUUACAACCUCCACUGAUCUACUCCCUGACAUCAGCGUGGAGAAUGGAAAGAUAAUGUGCUUCGAAGACAAAGACAACAAACUGAACUAUUUGACGCUUGUUUCAUUUGUGGACAACAUGGACAUUAACUGAGGGACAGUCUGGACAACUCCAAGAUCCAAUACCAGAACCAGUUGGACUGACAGGAAAUUGGAGAAAGAGGAGGAGGAAGGACUACAUGCCAGCACCAGGAGAAGGAGGGAGAAGUGAGACAGAAAGGAGACAUCCAAAGAUAAGUGUAUCAUACACACAGCUGUUAUACACUGUUUUUGCAUUGAAGAUUUGCUUGCUUGCUAACCCUGCACACAUAUUAUCUAGCCAGAAAAGGAAGUCUUGGAAGCUUUUAUGUUCAAUGUUAGACAAAUUCUCUCAGUUUCUCCUUGUUAACUCCGAGUCCUGAACAGCAGGACCACUGCUAACGAUCCUCUUAGGGUCCAUCAGCCAUAGGUUGGGAAACUGUGAAGAGAAAACUGCAAUCACUAAAAGUUCAUCAAAGAACUAACAAAAACUUGUGCCACUAAAUUACACUAACUAAAAUUUAUCAAAGAGUCUAAGCUAAUAAUGAUUUGCACAAGCUUUCAUUCCUUCUUAAGGAAAUAUCCUGGUAAUUCAUGCUAGUUUGAAAUUAAAUAAACUAUCUUUAAGUGUUGCAAAUAAUUGAAACUGCAGUGUUCAUAGACUAUAAAGUAUUUGUUGCUGUUACAUUGAACAGUUCAUUUAGAGAUUAAUUUUUAAAUUAAUGUACAUUUUAUGGAAAUGUGUUCCAGCAGCAGGGUGAUUCUCAGAAACAUGGUCCAACUUGUAGCAAAAAUUAAAAAACAUUAUAUACACACAAAAACACUCACUCUUUAUAAAACAGAUCCUAAUUUCACUUUUCACUGUAAAAGUAUAAUCUAUAUGCACAUUUUCUAGGUAAUUUUAAACAUUUUAUUCUAACUUUGACCAAAUAAAUUCAUUGCCGUAACACAAUUUCCAUGAAGAAAUUUGCAACCACAAAACCAUUUUUUUUUUCACAUUUUUUGGACACCAAGGACUUCAGUGUGCACAGAGAGACAGAAAUAAAUAAAAAUAGGCUUUUUUUUUU